rnacentral:rRNA from 1 species
GACGAACCGUGCGAACGUUGUUCGGAAUCACUGGGCUUAAAGGGCGCGUAGGCGGGUUCGUAAGUCUGUGGUGAAAGCCCCCAGCUUAACUGGGGAAGUGCCAUGGAUACUGCGAGUCUUGAGGAGGGUAGGGGCAUCUGGAACACUGGGUGGAGCGGUGAAAUGCGUUGAUAUCCAGUGGAACUCCGGUGGCGAAGGCGAGGUGCUGGACCCUUUCUGACGCUGAGGCGCGAAAGCCAGGGGAGCAAACGGG